GUGAGAUGGAAUCAGCGUUUGGGCAUGUGAAUUUACGCUGAUUUCAUCUCAUGA
rfam:Solanum lycopersicum cultivar Heinz 1706 chromosome 12, whole genome shotgun sequence.